rnacentral:rRNA from 1 species
AAUGAACGUUGGCGGCGUGGAUUAGGCAUGCAAGUCGAGCGAGAACCGGUUUCGGCCGGGGACAGCGGCGAACGGCGUAGUAAUGCAUCGGAACGUACCCUCUGGUCGGGGAUAGCUACGGGAAACUGUAGGUAAUACCCGAUGAUCUCUGCGGAGCAAAGGUGAGAUUCCGCCGGAGGAGCGGCUGAUGUGAUAUUAGCUAGUUGGUGGGGUAAUGGCCUACCAAGGCGAUAAUGUCUAGGGGGUGUGAGAGCAUGGCCCCCACGACCGGAACUGAGAUACUGUCCGGACACUUACGGGUGGCUGCAGUCGAGAAUCUUCCGCAAUGGACGAAAGUCUGACGGAGCGACGCCGCGUGCGGGAUGAAGGCCCUUGGGUUGUAAACCGCUGUCAGAGGGGAUGAAAUCUUCGGAGGUACUCCUCCGAAGUUGACAGAGCCUCAAAGGAAGCACGGGCUAAGUACGUGCCAGCAGCCGCCGUAAGAC